rnacentral:rRNA from 1 species
GAUGAACGCUGGCGGCGUGCUUAACACAUGCAAGUCGAACGAAGCUGCUUAACUGAUCUUCUUCGGAAUUGACGUUUUGUAGACUGAGUGGCGGACGGGUGAGUAACGCGUGGGUAACCUGCCCUGUACAGGGGGAUAACAGUCAGAAAUGACUGCUAAUACCGCAUAAGACCACAGCACCGCAUGGUGCAGGGGUAAAAACUCCGGUGGUACAGGAUGGACCCGCGUCUGAUUAGCUGGUUGGUGAGGUAACGGCUCACCAAGGCGACGAUCAGUAGCCGGCUUGAGAGAGUGAACGGCCACAUUGGGACUGAGACACGGCCCAAACUCCUACGGGAGGCAGCAGUGGGGAAUAUUGCACAAUGGGGGAAACCCUGAUGCAGCGACGCCGCGUGAGUGAAGAAGUAUCUCGGUAUGUAAAGCUCUAUCAGCAGGGAAGAAAAUGACGGUACCUG